UCUCUACGUCUUUAGGGUGCAUUUCUA
rnacentral:piRNA from 1 species